AUGGCCCACUCGUACACUGCGGUCUGAAGGCCUCGUCCGCACCACCGGGCGACCGCUCGCUACGUUUUGCUAGCC
rnacentral:sRNA from 3 species